CAUCUUCUUUCCAAGCAUCAGCCCUCAUAUCUUCCUGAGAAUAUCGUAGCUGCACUGGACUGCUCUGCAGGGCUGCUGUAAAUUCAGGUCAGAAGUCAUCUGGUUAUAGAUAAAUUCUCUCACAAACUCCAAGUUUCAAACAAAACAUUUUCAAAGUAAUAAUAAUAAUAAUAAAAUUUUUAUUUAUAUCCCGUCCUCCCCAGCCGAAGCCGGGCUCAGAGCAGCUAACAACAAUAAAAUAAUACAACAUUCUAAAAUCAUUUCAUUAUAAAAUUAAUUCAAAUCAAAUUAAUGGCAACCAUUGGGCUAGAGUUCUGUGAGGAUUAUGAUUCUCCCUCUUCUUUCUCCCUCAAUCCUAAAACCAUUUUGACUCUCCCAAUGACCUCAAAUAUUCCUCUGCAGUAAGGGAGGCAAAUGGGGAAAGCUUUCCCAUUGUCUUUUCACUUACAAAUGCUUCAGAUCCUGUCUUAAGGGCGUACUUGUGUAUGACUAGAGUGAGCCUGUGACCUGGAUUCAGGAACUAAAGUAUUUACUGUAGUGGCGAGUUCCUUGGGCUCGAGUUGGAUCAUCAAAGAAAAGGCCAAGAUAAUGAAGUAAAAUAGCAGCCAGGAGGCCUGAGCUUUAUUGUUUCAACAAGACUUCAAACUACAACAUAAAGGAAGCAGAGAGAAGUCCCGAACAAAGGUGCUUCUCCUUUUAAAAGUUCCCCAUAGUUACCCACAACACCCUUGGAAAAACAUCAUGUAUUUGUCAUAAAUCAGGUGUAGCAUCUGAACUGAAACUUGAGUGUCAGACUUGCCCUGUCAGUCAAACUUACUCUACAUUCCUGUUUCUUUUUUUAAAAAAAAUGAUGUUUAUUGAGAAAUUUUAAAAUUACAAAAAAACACAGAAAAAGAAGGAAAAAACAAGAAAAAAACAAAUAGCAAUUAAACAAUAAAAAUCGAUAAAAGUCAAAAUCAAAAAGCAAAAACAAAACACAUAGCACAUCAAAAUCAGAAAGCAAAAAUAAGCCACAAAGAUUUAAAAACAGAUCCAAUAUUCCCAUAUCCUUAACUGUCAUUACCUUAUUUCAUAGACCUCCUCACAUCUCCCUUUUUUGUAUUCUAGUUGUUGAUUGUCACAGCAAAUCCUUUCCAUUUUUCAUAAUAUUCUGUCAUUAAAUUACCUUAAUCUAUUUUAACCUUAUCUUACCAUAAAAACCCUAAAACUUAAAACUUAAAUCUUAUUUAUACCAAUUUCUCAUAACCAUAGCAUAUUCUUACAUAGUUCUUUUUAACAUUUCUGCUAAAGCCAAAUAAUUUCAUUCCAACAUUUUUCUAAUACUCAUUAAUUUUAGAAAACAUUCCUAAGUAGAAUUUUUAAAACUUUCUUCCAAUCUUCAUCCAACGUCUCUUCCUCCUGGUCUCGGGUUUUGUCAGUCCUUUCUAUCCCAUCCAUCUAGUUCAUUAACCUGGUAACCUUAUGUCCGAGGCCCUUAAGUCUCUUCCAUGUCCCUUCCACAGAUCUUCUUCAUAUUUAUACCUGUACUUUACUUUGUCUUCUGCUCCUUUCACUCGUGGAGACUCCAGCUUGACAAUAUUUUUGUCCCUUCUCGACAGAUCAGCCCCUUUUCCAUAGUCCACACUGAACUCCAUGUGGUAUUUAAAAGCAUGUUUCAAGGUCCCUCCCAAGUUGAGGACCCCCACAACUCCAAACUCCUCCCGGCCCGACGCCAGACUUGAAAAGUCAAAACAUCCCUGCAUAGGGGGGUCUAUCCAGCCCCCCAUCUCCAAGCCAAACAAGACUCUAUCUCUCCAAAUCUGGCUUUUUCCAGGUUCAUUCGUCAGAUCCAACAACUCAUGUUCCUGCUGGGCCACAGUUCCCUCCAUCUCUGCCUCCCGGGGUCCAGCCACAACCUCCUUACAUACUCUGGUUUCUCUUCAGAUCGUAUAAAUCUUUCGCCUUUUACAUUCCUGUUUCCAGGUACAACAAAGAAAGUAUUUAUGUCUUCCUAUUUACUCCCAGUUGAGUCAAGUACACCCCUUUGUCUUUACAAUGACACUCUGGCACUCUGGAGCAGGAUGCCAGGGUUUAUCACCCAGGUAGUGUUGUCAUUGGGUACGUGGUCCUACGCUUAUGGCUGACCUUACCCAUAGAUCAAGCCCCUCCUCUGGUAGGCCUCCCUCCUCUGAGCAAGACAACAUUGAAAUUGUGAGAAUCUGCCACAGGAUUGAUUUUAUAUGAAUUUCUAAACGUACAUGCUUAGAAAAAGUCUAAAAGCUAAACUAGACACACUAAUAACCAGAGGGUUCUCUACAACCCCAGCUGAGCCCUUGUUAGGGGGUGCUAUUGUAUAAGCAUAUCAAAGUUGCUGUCAAAAUGGACUCUUCUGAUUGGUUGCCGGUUUGACAGCUAUUUGAAUUAUAGUUCUUGAUUGGCUAGGCAUCUUGCAGAUAGUUCUUGAUUGGCUAGGCAUCUUGCGGAUUAUUCCCCAAUGAAUGAGUAUGGCAACUGGUCUACCCUUAUCAAUGAGCCCACCCUGGAUGUGAAGGGGAAGGAAAUGAAGGGAGCAGACCAGUCAAAGUCUGGUGACCCCCGCCAUGGGAACAGGUCUGUGCCCCCCCCAUUCUGAUUCCGGUAACAUUACCAUCACAAAAGAAUGGCCAAGCUGCCCAGGUAAUGGAAUCAGUGACCACCAUCAGGUAUCCUGGCAGACAGGAUUUCUGCUAUAGACUGCCUCCUAUGAUGUAUGUGUGAUGCUUUUAGGGUGGUCUUUGGCUAAGGGGUUGGGCAAUGUCAAAGGUCUUUAAACGUUCCUGCACACUUUGUUCUGGGUCUCUCCCUCCUUGCAUGGAGGGAAGGGAACUCUGUUGCAACAGAAAAUAAAGAUAUGCCUUGCUUUCCACUUGAUCCUGCCUCCAUCCAUUCUUCUCUGACCAAUCAGGGACUUAGGGGACUCAGAGUCCCAUGGGAGUUGGUCAGCAAAAGCCAAACCCCAAUGUUUACAUCAGUGUAUACUACAUGGUUGUCGCAAGCUACUCUCCCUCUGUCUCAGUCUCACCUCCCACCCUGCACCAUUAACCACAGACUGGGGGUGCUUCCAGACACCAGCUUGACACUGCAAACAAGUCAUUGGAAACAACUAUUUUAUGUUUACUUGCUGGAUUUCCCCUGGAAAGGAUAAAUCCGGAUUAAAUGGGGAUGCAUGUGAUAUAUACAGGCUGGCAUUUUGUGUGUGUGAGGAGCACCAAUACCACUGUAAAGUCCCACCUGGAAGCACCCUACUUUGCAGGGCUGUUGUCAGCCACCAUGCACUGCCACAAAAUGGAAUAACAGCAGUCUACACUGCAGGGAUAUUGUACAGUAAGUGGGUCCCUUCCAGAACACCCUGCCAUAUCCGUAUAAUAUAGAGCACUGGUUCCAAAAGUGGACAGUACUGCCCUUGGGGGAUGGGGGUGGGCAGGGAACAUAAUUACCUGGGAGGGGCACCAAGAGGAAAGAGGGAAGCUAGAAAUGAAAAUUACUUUGAAAAGUUGGCAUCACUGGAUCCAGUUCAUCAAUUUUGUUGAAUUAAUUAAACUAAAUACUUUUAAUUUGAUUUUGAAUAAAUGUGCAAUUAAUUGUUACUCUUUUGAAUUUUACUGUGUUAUUACCUUCCUUAGUAGGCCAUGAAAACUGCUAUUCUGAAUAAUGAUUUUUAUAGAGUAGGGGGGCCCUGGGAAUGAGUUUUUGGAACAAUGGGAGCGGUAACCCCCCAAAAACAUUUGGGAACCACUGAUAUAGAGACUGGAUUAAACUGCAGGGUUGUUGCAGGUUACUCUCCCCCUUUAGCCUUACCUACAGAACUAUCCAUGGGCCACAGUACAGUGUUGUCAUAGCCUGACUCUCUCACUCAUGAAAAAUGUGGGGAUAAACCAUUGACUAUAUUAUAGGGCCAUUGUAAGCCACUGCCAGACACACACACAUUCCUGCAAUGUCAGGCACACAUAAGCAAAGGCUUCUUUCACUGUAAGAGGCAAUCCCCAUAAUUCUACAGGAGAUGCAAGGCAGGGAGAGAACAAAUUAGCCAGGAGUUUGGGAAUGCAGCCUGCUGAAAUAAAAACCUUUUAGACAUGAAGCCUAAAAUUUGGGGGUUUGCUUAAAUGAAUGUGUUGUGAGAUUGUUAGGCUUACACUAGCCAGCAGAAGGAGUCGUCAGGAAGCUGCCUUGAUAUAUCAAGUCAGACUGUUCGGCCCAUCUAACUCAGUACUGCCUACACUGAUUGGCAGCAGCUCCCCAGGGUUUCAGGAAGGAGUUUCUCUCAACCCUGCCUGAAGAUGCUGUUGUGGAUUGAAGUUGGG